AACCAUUCUCACCUGCGGCUAGACCUGCGGAGGGAUCAUUAAUAAAUGUUACUUCGGUAACUUAAUUAAUCCCUAACACCUGUGCAUCUUGUCGCUUCGGCGUCAUUUUAUAAACAUCAGUGUAAUGAAUGUAAAGUAUUAUAACAAAUACAACUUUUAGCAACGGAUCU
rnacentral:misc_RNA from 1 species